GACGAACGCUGGCGGCGUGCUUAACACAUGCAAGUCGAGCGAUGAAGCCCCUUCGGGGGUGGAUUAGCGGCGGACGGGUGAGUAACACGUGGGUAACCUGCCUCAAAGAGGGGGAUAGCCUCCCGAAAGGGAGAUUAAUACCGCAUAAAGCAGAAUUCCACAUGGAGUUUUGAUGAAAGGAGUAAUCCGCUUUGAGAUGGACCCGCGGCGCAUUAGCUAGUUGGUGGGGUAACGGCCCACCAAGGCAACGAUGCGUAGCCGACCUGAGAGGGUGAUCGGCCACAUUGGAACUGAGAGACGGUCCAGACUCCUACGGGAGGCAGCAGUGGGGAAUAUUGCACAAUGGGCGAAAGCCUGAUGCAGCAACGCCGCGUGAGUGAUGAAGGUCUUCGGAUUGUAAAGCUCUGUCUUCUGGGACGACAAUGACGGUACCAGAGGAGGAAGCCACGGCUAACUACGUGCCAGCCGCCGCGGUAA
rnacentral:rRNA from 1 species